rnacentral:rRNA from 1 species
GAUGAACGCUGGCGGCGUGCCUAAUACAUGCAAGUCGAGCGAACGGACGAGAAGCUUGCUUUUCUGAUGUUAGCGGCGGACGGGUGAGUAACACGUGGAUAACCUACCUAUAAGACUGGGAUAACUUCGAGAAACCGGAGCUAAUACCGGAUAAUAUUUUGAACCACAUGGUUCAAAAGUGAAAGACGGUCUUGCUGUCACUUAUAGAUGGAUCCGCGCUGCAUUAGCUAGUUGGUAAGGUAACGGCUUACCAAGGCAACGAUGCAUAGCCGACCUGAGAGGGUGAUCGGCCACACUGGAACUGAGACACGGUCCAGACUCCUACGGGAGGCAGCAGUAGGGAAUCUUCCGCAAUGGGCGAAAGCCUGACGGAGCAACGCCGCGUGAGUGAUGAAGGCCUUCGGAUCGUAAAACUCUGUUAUUAGGGAAGAACAUAUGUGUAAGUAACUGUGCACAUCUUGACGGUACCUAAUCAGAAAGCCACGGCUAACUACGUG